ACAACUAAGAAUAAAAUUUUUCCGUCAAAAAAAAAAUUGUGUUUUUUUCCGCCAAAACCUAAUUUGAGUUUUUCCACCAAAACCACAAAAUCAAGUUUUCCGCCGAAAUCGGCAAAUCGGGUUUUCUCGCCAAAACUGCAAAAUCGAGUUUUUCCGCUGAAACCGCAAAAUCGAGUUUUUCCGCCAAAACUAAAACCGCAAUAUCGAGUUUUCCCUAAAAAACCGGCAAAUCGAGUUUUCCCGCCAAAACCGUGAAAUUGAGUUUUACGGGUUUUCCAGAAAAACUUAAUUUAAUUUUAC
rnacentral:lncRNA from 1 species